GACGAACGCUGGCGGCGUGCUUAACACAUGCAAGUCGAACGGAAAGGCCCCUUUGGGGGUACUCGAGUGGCGAACGGGUGAGUAACACGUGAGUAACCUGCCCUUGACUUCGGGAUAACUUCAGGAAACUGGGGCUAAUACCGGAUAGGAAUCCUUGCUGCAUGGUGGGGGUUGGAAAGCUUCGGCGGUUUUGGAUGGACUCGCGGCUUAUCAGCUUGUUGGUGGGGUAGUGGCUUACCAAGGCUUUGACGGGUAGCCGGCCUGAGAGGGCGACCGGCCACAGUGGGACUGAGAUACGGCCCAGACUCCUACGGGAGGCAGCAGGGGGGAAUAUUGCACAAUGGGCGGAAGCCUGAUGCAGCAACGCCGCGUGCGGGAUGACGGCCUUCGGGUUGUAAACCGCUUUCAGCAGGGGCGAAGCUUGUGGUGACGGUACCUGCAGAAGAAGCACCGGCUAACUACGUG
rnacentral:rRNA from 1 species